AAUGCAGAGAAGACAUAAUGUAUAUGCACUUCUGCUCCAGUUGUAUUUAAUUAAUGUGUGAACUAUUUGGGGGAUGCCAGUCUGAAAAGAAACAUAACGUUUUAUAAGCCUCUUCAUGAUUUGCUGUUGAAGAAAAAGCAGCUGAGCAUCAGAUGAUCAUUCUGCCAGACUACAUUUGCAAUUUUCAGCACAGUCCUCUAAAAGCAAAUCCUACAGAAAUCAACGGAAUGUUUGUGUAAAUAUCACCAGGAAAGAGAGCUGAAAAGAAAUCACUUGGAAAACAAAGGGAGAGAUCAACGUGAACAGUGACUGAAAAAGGGCACUGUACUCUCUGGAAAAUGCACCCAGGAGAGACGUGACUUGUAAGGUUUUGGAAGGUAAAGCAAGAAUCACAGAGAAUAAAGGUUUUGGAAGGCAA